CUGAACCUUCGGGGAACGUUAAGGGCGGCGAGCGGCUUGACGGGUGAGUAAUGCCUGGGAAUAUGCCCUGAUGUGGGGGAUAACUAUUGGAAACGAUAGCUAAUACCGCAUAAUCUCUUCGGAGCAAAGAGGGGGACCUUCGGGCCUCUCGCGUCAGGAUUAGCCCAGGUGGGAUUAGCUUGUUGGUGAGGUAAUGGCUCACCAAGGCAACGAUCCCUAGCUGGUCUGAGAGGAUGAUCAGCCACACUGGAACUGAGACACGGUCCAGACUCCUACGGGAGGCAGCAGUGGGGAAUAUUGCAUAAUGGGGGAAACCCUGAUGCAGCCAUGCCGCGUGUGUGAAGAAGGCCUUCGGGUUGUAAAGCACUUUCAGUAGGGAGGAAGGUAGUGUAGUUAACACCUGCAUUAUUUGACGUUACCUACAGAAGAAGCACCGGCUAACUCCGUGCCAGCAGCCGCGGUAAUACGGAGGGUGCGAGCGUUAAUCGGAAUUACUGGGCGUAAAGCGCAUGCAGGCGGCCUGUUAAGUCAGAUGUGAAAGCCCGGGGCUUAACCUCGGAUGCAUUUGAAACUGGCAGGCUAGAGUCUUGUAGAGGGGGGUAGAUUUCGGUGUAGCGGUGAAAUGCGUAGAGAUCUGAGGAAUACCAGUGGCAAAGGCGGCCCCCUGGACA
rnacentral:rRNA from 1 species